GCAGUAGCGAGGUCGGAUCGUUAGUCAACGAAGUCCUUGGGAGAGGCAGGAUGCUCUGGCUGAUGCUUCUAGUUUCCCCAGACCGGAAGCAGUCAUAGCCGGAAGAGGCUGCCGGGGAGAUAAGAAAUGAGCAAUCAGAGAGAAAGAGCAAGGCAGGAGGAGGGUGGGGAGGCGAGCAGGUUGUCCCACCCAAGGCGACCCUGUGACUUUCUUGGGGAAGCAGCACCCCCACAAGGACCUGGCCUGACCCGGGAAGCUGAGGGCCUGCCCUUCAAAGUGACACCCUCGGGGCUGGGGAUUUAGCUCAGCGGCACAGCGCCUGCCUGACAAGCGCGAGGUGCUGCAAUAAAUCAUAUCAGCACCCUGCCUCAUAGAUCUGGAACUAGACCCGGAACUAGAACUGUAUAACCAUUCUCCCCUCCUGCCCUUCAGGGUCAGUGCUCGGUCAUGUACUGGGUGCCCAUCACCAGCCUCCAAUAAACUUGCUUGUCUCUGCUUCCAGCCUCUGUGGGUGACUUAUUUAAAUAAGUGCCUUUGCCACAAAACAUGCAGUGACAUUUUAUUGUGGCUUUAAGUUUUACAUUUUCCUAGUGGCUAAUAAUGUUGAAAAAC
rnacentral:lncRNA from 1 species